GUCCUGGCGGGAGCUACCUGGACGAGACAGCCUUGCAGAUGAUAGCUGUGUUGUGUGAUCAACCACAUGCAAGAUGUUGAUAGACUUGACGCAGAAGGUGACAAGUAGUGCACCGAGGAGAAUGCUUUGUUAGGCAUGGUAUUGUGAAGUCCUUUUGGGCCAUCAACGCUGGCUUCACUGUAUGGGUUUCUUCAACUUUCUGAGCUACAGGACCUGUGUACUUCUGAGGGGCCCUUAAUUACAUCACCAGUAAAACUGAACUACAUGUAAAUUAAUACAACCCACACCAUCUGGACUGGGACUGGCACCCUGACUACCA
rnacentral:lncRNA from 1 species